GUUGGUGGAGUGAUUUGUCUGGUUAAUUCCGUUAACGAACGAGACCUUAACCUGCUAAAUAGUGGCAGCUACUCUUUGUAGGUGGCCAACUUCUUAGAGGGACAACUUGUUUUCAUCAAGUGGAAGUUUGAGGCAAUAACAGGU
rnacentral:rRNA from 1 species